GCCCGUAUAGCUCAGUGGUAGAGCGCAUCACUCGUAAUGAUGAGGUCCUCGGUUCGAUCCCGAGUGUGGGCA
rnacentral:tRNA from 1 species